rnacentral:rRNA from 1 species
GACGAACGCUGGCGGCGUGCUUAACACAUGCAAGUCGAACGGAAAGGCCCUGCUUUUGUGGGGUUCUCGAGUGGCGAACGGGUGAGUAACACGUGAGUAACCUGCCCUUGACUUUGGGAUAACUUCAGGAAACUGGGGCUAAUCCCGGAUAGGAGCUCCUGCUGCAUGGUGGGGGUUGGAAAGUUUCGGCGGUUGGGGAUGGACUCGCGGCUUAUCAGCUUGUUGGUGGGGUAGUGGCUUACCCAGGCUUUGAAGGGUAGCCGGCAUGAGAGGGUGACCGGCCACAAUGGGACUGAGAUACGGCCCAGACUCCUACGGGAGGCAGCAGGGGGGAAUAUUGCACAAUGGGCGGAAGCCUGAUGCAGCAACGCCGCGUGCGGGAUGACGGCCUUCGGGUUGUAAACCGCUUUCGCCUGUGACGAAGCGUGAGUGACGGUAAUGGGUAAAGAAGCACCGGCUAACUACGUG